rnacentral:rRNA from 1 species
AAAAGAAACUAACAAGGAUUCCCCUAGUAGCGGCGAGCGAAGCGGGAAGAGCUCAAAUUUAUAAUCUGGCACCUUCGGUGUCCGAGUUGUAAUCUCUAGAAAUGUUUUUCCGCGUUGGACCGCACACAAGUCUGUUGGAAUACAGCGGCAUAGUGGUGAGACCCCCGUAUAUGGUGCGGACGCCCAGCGCUUUGUGAUACAUUUUCGAAGAGUCGAGUUGUUUGGGAAUGCAGCUCAAAUUGGGUGGUAAAUUCCAUCUAAAGCUAAAUAUUGGCGAGAGACCGAUAGCGAACAAGUACCGUGAGGGAAAGAUGAAAAGCACUUUGGAAAGAGAGUUAACAGUACGUGAAAUUGUUGGAAGGGAAACGCUUGAAGUCAGACUUGCUUGCCGAGCAAUCGGUUUGCAGGCCAGCAUCAGUUUUCCGGGAUGGAUAAUGGUAGAGAGAAGGUAGCAGUUUCGGCUGUGUUAUAGCUCUCUGCUGGAUACAUCUUGGGGGACUGAGGAACGCAGUGUGCCUUUUGGCGGGGGUUUCGACCUCUUCACACUUAGGAUGCUGGUGGAAUGGCUUU